rnacentral:rRNA from 1 species
UCGAGCGAAGCUUUUCAGUAGUUUACUACAGAAAAUGACUGAGCGGCGAACGGGUGAGUAACGCGUGAGCAACCUACCUUAGUUACUGGGAUAGCCCGAGGAAACUCGGAUUAAUACCGGAUAUUCUUAUUUAAUCACAUGAUUUUUUAAGGAAAGGUCAGCCGAACUAAGAUGGGCUCGCGUUCUAUCAGCUAGUUGGUAGGGUAAUGGCCUACCAAGGCUACGACGGAUAGCUGGUCUGAGAGGACGAUCAGCCACACUGGGACUGAGACACGGCCCAGACUCCUACGGGAGGCUGCAGCAGGGAAUAUUGCGCAAUGAGCGAAAGCUUGACGCAGCGACACCGCGUGUGGGAUGAUGGAUCUAGGUUUGUAAACCACUUUCAGGAGGGAAGAAAAUGACGGUACCUCCACAAGAAGCCCCGGCCAACUACGUGCCAGCAGCCGCGGUAAUACGUAGGGGGCGAGCGUUGUCCGGAUUUAUUGGGCGUAAAGAGCUCGUAGGCGGUUCAACAAGUCGGUCGUGAAAGUUCAGGGCUCAACCCUGAAAUGUCGAUCGAUACUGUUGUGACUAGGAUACGGUAGAGGUGAGUGGAAUUCCGAGUGUAGCGGUGAAAUGCGUAGAUAUUCGGAGGAACACCAAUUGCGAAGGCAGCUCACUGGGCCGCUAUCGACGCUGAGGAGCGAAAGCUAGGGGAGCAAACAGGAUUAGAUACCCUGGUAGUCCUAGCUGUAAACGAUGGAUACUAGACGUAGGAAUUGGUUUAACGAUUUCUGUGUCGUAGCUAACGCGUUAAGUAUCCCGCCUGGGGAGUACGGUCGCAAGACUAAAACUCAAAGGAAUUGACGGGACCCCGCACAAGCGGCGGAGCAUGCGGCUUAAUUCGAUGAUACCCGUAGAACCUUACCUGGACUUGACAUAUAGGGAAAAGUUAUAGAAAUAUA